rnacentral:rRNA from 1 species
UACGGACGGGGCAAGCGUUGUUCGGAAUCAUUGGGCGUAAAGGGCGCGUAGGUGGUUUUGUGUGUCUACCGUGAAAGCAUACAGCUCAACUGUAUUUUGUCGGUAGAAACUGCAGGACUUGAGGCUGGGAGGGGCUGGUGGAAUUCCCUGUGUAGCGGUGAAAUGCGUAGAGAUGGGGGAGAACACUCGUGGCGAAGGCGGCCAGCUAGACCAGUUCUGACACUGAGGCGCGACAGCGUGGGGAGCAAACAGG